CCUGCCGCCUUCAGCCCCGGAGCUGACAGGGGAUUCUCAGCCCUGCCUUGUGCCAAGCUGCUCCAUGCACAUGCCUCAUUGUCACCCUGCCUGCGAGAGUCACAGAAAGGGCUUUUCCCUCUUCCCCUGAGCUGCCAAUCAUAUGAAAGUCACCCUCUAACACUUGUGAAAUCACCCACAGGGUGUCAGAAGCUGAAACUGCUAAGUCCACCACACUAGGCUUGGCAGGAGAGAUGUCUAACCCGGCCCCGAGAGCUCCAGCUGCCUCCUGGCUCACCUGGGUCUGACUAGAGUGAAGGGAGAGGACUGUGCUGAGCCACCUGAGGAGUCAGGUGGGCAGGAGUGGCAUGUGGCCUUGCCGCCGACCCAGCAGAAAGUUUCCAAGGCCUAUGUGGGGGUCAGGUGUCCACCUCCAGUGAUCUGAGAGGAUGGGUGGGCAGAACCCCUGGGUUCUGAACCAUGAUUGAGAGCAGGAGACCUCUGUGGACUGUGGCAUGAAGAGCAGUUACUGGGAUCCAGGAGAUAGAAAACACAAAUAUAUGUGAUGAAACUGGGACUCGAAAGCGCCAACUUCAGUUGCAAGAUCUUGUUCUUAAGAGGCAGACUGCGGAGCUGAGGCCGGCAGGACUGCGUGCAGGGCUGCCAUCCUAGGCGCAGGGGACGCAGGGGGCGUGCAGGGCAGGGGCGAGAGGAGAGGCGGGAGAGGGAGGGGGCGCCAGCUCUCUGGGUCCUCCUUCCCCACAACCCCUAGUUAACUGGGGAAGGAAGCAGGUUCUGGGCCUUCGCAGCUAAAGCAGCAGCAGGCGCCCAAAGGAAGCGGGUGGAGAGGAGCCUGGGAGCCCACCCGGCGGAGCCAGGUAGGGGGAGAGCUAGGCGCCAACAGGGAGGCUCCAGAGUGGCCACAUCUGGCCAGGCGGACACCUCCUCCUGGCCGCCAGGCAUGCCUAAACCCCCUAAGCCACGCCCCAACACGUGUGCUUGCUUACACUGACCAGAGAAGGAGGGAUCACCCUGCACAGCUGUCUUGGUGCCUUCCCCCCUCCCCCUUUUUUUUCGUUUCAGGACCCAGGGUUUUGAGCAGGAGUGUGGUGGGGGAGCAGGGUUCCUCCCCUUCCUCAGGCCCAGUCAGAGAGGGAGCCAUCACUCUCUCUGCUCCUCCUCCUCUGGGGGCGCACUCCAACCCCCUCCCCAUCCCCUGAGAAGCCUUUUCUGACCACUCAGACUCUCCAGGGUCGCCUGCCCCCGAGUUCCUGCAGGACGUUUCCAAGUGACGCAACGUCUCAUCUCUCAGCACAUGUCUCCCCAGGCCCACUAGGAUAUAAGCGUCAAAAGGGCAGAGGUCUUUGUUUUCUUCAGGGCUACAUCUACAGUGCCCAGAAUAACGAGUGCCUGCCUCAGAACAGGUCCUCCAUAGAUACUUGCUGAAUGAAGGAGGAUGUCAAUGAUCAGUGAAAAGUGUAAGUUUACCUGAUGAAGGGAAGGAAGCAGGAAAAGAAGGUGACUUUGCAGAUCCGCAGCCAGAGGUCAGCUGACAACGGGGCAUACCUUGCUGGAGCUCAGCUGGGAGAAAGAAGUUUGAACACUGAGCGACGGUCACAGACAACAUCUGAGGACUCUCUGAUUUUGCUUCUGAAGGAGUAGGAUGAUCUUUGUCAGUCCAAGAUGACCAUGAGGAAACGAGCAAUCAAUAUUUGUUGUCAGAAAUGCUGAUCAUGGAACACUUGCAUAAACCCAUUUUAGGAAGAGUGGGCAGUAUAACGAUGUCAAUAGUAACAGUAGCUACAUUCUAGGGCACUUACCCAGUGCUGGGCACUUCUUCAUAGACUUCACGUGGAUUAUCCCAUUUAAUCCUUACAACAAAUUUAUGAGGUAGGCAUUUUUUUUGCUCUUUUGUAAAUAAGAAAAUAAGAAGUUAAACAACUUGCCAAAGACCACAUACCUAGAAAGAUUUCAUUUGAUUAUUUGAUUAUGUUUUGAGAUGAGACAAGAAAGAAAAUUUGAAGUUGAGCUCCGUAAUUAAACAUGACCCUACAUGUCCUAGGGUUCAGAUUGAAUCCAUAAAUGGAUGGAGUUUGAACAUCGGUUCUGCACCUCACUGUUCGCAUUACUUUAGACAAGUUAUACUUAUCUCUCUGAGUUUAGAUUUCCUCAUUUGUAAGAUGUAAAAAAUUAUUCGAUCCUUGCAGAGUUAUCAAGAUUAAAUAUAAUCACGCAUGAAAAACACCUACUAUAAAUGUCUGACCCAGAGAAGACACUCAAGAAAUGACUUUAUUUUCACUAUCAUUUUUGUUGUUAUUAUUACUGAAAGAAUUCAGAGUCCGGCCUUUCGGCUCCAUAAUUGUGAAUACCCACACCCAUGCUCCUCAAAUAGUAUUUGGAAUCAAUGGGGUAGCAAUUUAAAGAUGCAAAGUCCUGAGUUCUACUCUCAGAGAUUCUAAUGUAAUAGAUAUGUUGGGGUCUAGAAAUCUCUCUCUCAGAUGGAAAAUUGUCAUUCUCUUAACUCCAGAAAGAGACAGAACCUUCACCUGUUACUUUCUACUUUCUAAUGUUAUGCUACCCAAUGUGUGCUCCCCAAAAUCCUCACAUGAAAUUGACCCUUCCAGGCAGUGUUGCCUAAUGGUUAAGGAAAGGGCUCUGGAGACCUCAGGCAAGCACAUGGCCCUCUUUGGGCCUCAUUUUCGUCAUCUAUAAAAUUGGGAUAACAAUAAUUUCUACCAUAGGAUAAAUCAAGGCUUAAAAUAAACAUGUGAAGCAGUUAGAAAGAGCCUGGCAUGGAUUAGGUACUCUA